AGAGUUUGAUUAUGGCUCAGAACGAACGCUUGCUGCAUGCUUUAUACAUGCAAGUCGAACGGAGGCCCUAGCUUGCUAGGUGUCCUUAGUGGCGCACGGGUGAGUAACACGUGGGAACAUACCUCAUAGUACGGAAUAACUGCGGGAAACUGUAGCUAAUACCGUAUAUUCCAGCAAUGGGAAAGAUUUAUCGCUAUGAGAUUGGCCCGCGCAAGAUUAGCUUGUUGGUGAGGUAAAAGCUCACCAAGGCUCCGAUCUUUAGCUGGUUUGAGAGGACGAUCAGCCACACUGGGACUGAGACACGGCCCAGACUCCUACGGGAGGCAGCAGUAGGGAAUAUUGGACAAUGGGGGAAACCCUGAUCCAGCAAUGCAGCGUGAGUGACGAAGGCCUUAGGGUUGUAAAACUCUUUCAUCGGUGAGGAUAAUGACAGUAGCCGAAGAAGAAGGACCGGCUAAUUCCGUGCCAGCAGCCGCGGUAAUACGGAAGGUCCUAGCGUUGUUCGGAAUUACUGGGCGUAAAGCGCAUGUAGGCGGAACAAAAAGUUAGAAGUGAAAUCCCUGGGCUCAACCUAGGAAUUGCUUUUAAAACUUUUGUUCUGGAAUUCAGGAGAGGAAAAUGGAAUUUCCAGUGUAGAGGUGAAAUUCGUAGAUAUUGGAAGGAACACCAGUGGCGAAGGCGAUUUUCUGGACUGAUAUUGACGCUGAGAUGCGAAGGCAUGGGUAGCAAACGGGAUUAGAUACCCCGGUAGUCCAUGCAGUAAACGAUGGGUGCUAGUCGUCGGACUUUUGUUCGGUGUCGUAGCUAACGCGUUAAGCACCCCGCCUGGGGAGUACGGUCGCAAGAUUAAAAC
rnacentral:rRNA from 1 species